AGAGUUUGAUCAUGGCUCAGGAUGAACGCUGGCGGUAUGCUUAACACAUGCAAGUCGAACGAAAUCUUCGGAUUUAGUGGCGGACGGGUGAGUAACGCGUGAGAAUCUACUCUUAGAUUGGGGACAACAGUUGGAAACGACUGCUAAUACCGAAUGUGCCGAAAGGUAAAAGAUUUAUCGUCUGAGAAUGAGCUCGCGUUGGAUUAGCUAGUUGGAGUGGUAAUGGCACACCAAGGCGACGAUCCAUAACUGGUCUGAGAGGACGAUCAGCCACACUGGGACUGAGACACGGCCCAGACUCCUACGGGAGGCAGCAGUGGGGAAUUUUCCGCAAUGGGCGAAAGCCUGACGGAGCAAGACCGCGUGGGGGAAGAAGGCUCUUGGGUCGUAAACUCCUUUUCUCUGGGAAGAACAAAAUGACGGUACCAGAGAAUCAGCUCGAUGCGAG
rnacentral:rRNA from 1 species